AAGCUACAAACACAAAAUGUAAGGGAUUCAGACGCUUAUGCUCGAGAAGUUACAUCUCAAGUCAAUACCUGGUUUUCUGGCCUCUUUUCAUGGGUGCCUCAAGGUCUCAGACCCAUCCUUGUGGGGGUCCUGCAUUUUCUGUUAUCACAUCUGUUAACAAACGUUAGUAUAUAUAUAACAUUUAGACUAACGGUUUUCUGUUGUCUGAUGUGCGGAAAACGAACAACGAAAGCUCUUUCUGAACCCCCAGCCACAUGACAAGAUCAGGUUCACUCAUUCCAUUUCAAGGGCCAUCAAACAACACCCCCAUUCAUUCAGCAGGAAGCAGCCAGACGAACACGAUGUCCGUCUCCCUGUUUCCAUAGAAACGGAAUGAGAGAAACUGACAGUGGGGAUUUUGAAGGAGAAAUAAUAAAAUGGCCGCACUUAGGCUGAGAGGUUCUUGGCUUUAUGCUUGCUGUUUGCUCUUAGAACAGUCAGCAAAUGACUGAUCAGUUACUCCUCACAGCCCCAGGCCCAUUUAAAGCUGUUGAUUUUACUGUUUCUACUUUAUCCUGGUGAUCAGAGUUAUGAUCAUGCUUGGCUUCUGAGUUGUUCUCUAGGAAAAAGGUCACCCGACUGUAACUUUACAAAAUAGCCUGAAUUACCAAGAAGACCACACCUGGAGCACUUACAAGAAGAGGUGGAAAGAGCGACAGCCACUGGCCUCUGCAGAACUGGUCGCCUGGAGGCACCAUGACGCCACUGUGAGUCUUACGAAAAGUGAAUAAUUCUGUUGAUUGUUACUGAUGCCUCAUUGUUUAAGCUAUGUUUAUAUAAUCACCAAGCCCCGACCCCAAAAGGGGCUCCCAGUUUUGAAAGCCCUAGCCUGCUGUGAGGCUCUUUUGCCUGGCAAAGCAACUAAGCUGCCUCUUUUCUUCUAAGCUCCAAGACCCAGUCUCUGAGUUAUUUGACUCGUCAGGGAUGGGGGCCGAUACUUCGGUAAGACCUCUACUUGAAAUUUGCAGGGAAGGGAACCUGAUUUUGGCAAACUCGGCCUACCUCUGAAUGAAUGGAUGGCUCCAGGGUUAAAACAUUUGUGUCUUCCUCUCAAAAUUAAUUUGCAGUGUAAGACAACCUACAGUCUUUGGCCACAGAACAUUCCACCCCUCUUUGCAGGCAGCCUCAGUGGUUUGGGCUUCUCCUAGAUGCUGGAAAACAACUGUGAGUUACUGAGGAAGCAGAUUACACUAAUGUCUAUUGCAAAAGUCAAUUUUCAUAGCAGCUGUUAGGGUGAUUAUGAUAAGAGUAGGCUGAUAAUCGGGUUUAUGCUAACAGAUCAAUCUGUAAAAGGAUGGCAGAGAUGAUUGGGAAAGAGCCUGCGUGAGGGUGCAGACAGAGGUGAACCUCUGUGUACCCAGCCCCGUCAUCGGGAAGCAGAGACAAGGAAAAGGGAGCGAACGGCUGUACCCUUGGCUUCCCCCCUGGGCAGGUUCCAGAUGACAGCAUUCAGCCUGCAGUCAGAACAGACAAGCAAGCACAUUUCAAGGCAGUCUCAGCCCCCACAGCCUGACAACUUUGUGAGCUCUCAGAUUUCCCACACGGUCUUCCUAGAAGUGAAAUGGGGGAAAGGGGAUUGGCUAACAGGGAGGCUAAGCCUCCCUGACUCCUGGCUCCCCCGUGGGGCUGACUCAGAAGCACUAAACAAAAAUGCGAGCGGGACUUGUGUGCGCAUCUACCAGGUGCGGGCAGGGGAGGUCUAAGAAUAAAUGUGAUUAUUCAACAUUAAAAAAAAAACUAAUACAACAUUGUAAAUCAACUAUACUUCAAUUAAAAAAAAGUAUCAUGUAUAACUGAAAAAUUGUGCUGUACACUGGAAUUUGACACAACAUUGUAAAAUGACUAUAACUCAAUAAAAAAAAAGUUUAAAAAGAAAAGUAAAACACAAAAAGCAGCCCAGAAUCUCAGCUCUACUGUUUGUCCUGAACCCACUUUCCUGUGGUUUCUUAUUUCUUAGUUACAGUGCAGAAUUAUUUUUGCAAAAAUGGGGUUAGCCUAUGAGAAAACACUGUUUGCUCUAAAAAUAACUGACAUUCAGCAGAAUCUACUGGGUGUAAUGUACCCACUGUGCCUUUACCUUCCCCCCAGCCCCAGUGGCUUUCCCACCUUUAGACUCUGAGUUCUCCCUACCUUUCCUUAUCAAAACAAACAAAAGAUCAGAGAUCACUAUUUUCACUUUAAGUGAAAUUCAUGUACACCAAUGUAGUAAUUAAUGCUUUUUAGUUUCUAGGCUUCUGCAAUCAGAAGACACUUUCUGCAAAACAAGUGGCUCCAUUUCCUAUUAAACUAAUAUUGCUUCCAUGCCAGGCAGAUGGGAAAGGAAUGAGGAUGGGGGAACUGAAGGAGAGACAUAAGAAGUCUUCCUUGUUCUGAACUGUCAGCGCCCAAGACUGGCCCCAGUACUAAGCCAGCCCACCACCCAUCCAUGCGUUCAGAAAACCAGUCACUCACCAGCCAGGAAAUCUACAUGAUCUCCUGUGCUGCUCACAAGAAUUGACUGGGGUGGAUUCUAUGACUGUCCCCACUUUACAGACAUGGAAACUGAGGCACAGAGAGAGUUCAGUUAACACAGAUGUACAGCUAAUAAAUGGAGGAACAGGGACAUGCACGUAGGGGGGGUCUGACCCCACACCUGCUCCCCAACCACUGCACACGGCAGCAUGUUGGGUUUCCCUUUCCUUUCCCUUCUCUUCAACUGCAGCCAGAAUCAAUGUUCCAAAAGGCAAAAUUGGCCAUGCCUCUCCCCAGGCUUAAAAAACACUUCAGCGGUUUCCCCGUGCCCUUGGCCAAGCCCAGACUUGUUGGUUUGACCAGAUCCUGCUACCUCUCCCCUCCCCUGGAACAUUCUCCUGCAUCUACUCUGUCCUCCAGACACACAGACUCCGCUCAGUUUCCUCAGAUGAGCCUCACUAGGUCUGCCCUCCCAGACCUCCCACAUCACCCUUCCCUCCUCUGCAUCUCUCCGGUCCUGCGCAUCCUCCAGAAGGCCUUUGUGGAGGAAGGAGCACACUGAAGACAUCCUCCUGCUCCGUCCCCUGAGAACCCCAGACACCCCAGCCAGAGCAGUCACCACACCUGAUUAUCAAAGAAGUAGAAAUGGAGAUUAAGUAAUUAACAGAUGACCAGAUCUCCCUAGCUUCUCCUUCAGAACAAACUGUGUGAACAAACUGAGCAAGACUGCGUCUAAAGAAAGAUCAGAAGGCCACAAGCCUGACAGCCUAUCUCAACGAUUAAAUGAGAUUGCUUCCCUUUCUCCCUUUAAAAACUCUCCUGACUGAGCGGAGCAGAAUCUUCGGUGAUGGUUUUCGGGGGACACUGCGUCCACCAUCUCCCCCCAUGGCCAGCGUUCUGAUUAAGAGUUACCCUCCUUCCCACCUACUGUGUCUCCCUCAGGGACUGACUUUUGAGCGGCGAGCAGCCGGACCUGAGUUGGGUCAGAGGUACCUAUCAUGCACUGACGCCAUGAUGCUUCUGAUCCAGACUAAUUAAGGACAAAAAUCCAUCCUCCCUUUGGGAAGGUGGAGUUGGGAUGAUAAUCAGGAAUUACGACCCCAAGCCCUUCCCUCCUCAAUGAAUAUUCUGC